ACGCUGGCGGCGUGCUUAACACAUGCAAGUCGAACGAGAAUCUGCGGGAACGAGGAUUCGUCCAAGUGAAGCAGAGGACAGUGGCGGACGGGUGAGUAACGCGUGAGGAACCUGCCUUUCAGAGGGGACAACAGUUGGAAACGACUGCUAAUACCGCAUAACACAUAGGAGUCGCAUGGCUCUUAUGUCAAAGAUUUAUCGCUGAAAGAUGGCCUCGCGUCUGAUUAGCUAGUUGGUGAGGUAACGGCCCACCAAGGCGACGAUCAGUAGCCGGACUGAGAGGUUGAACGGCCACAUUGGGACUGAGAUACGGCCCAGACUCCUACGGGAGGCAGCAGUGGGGAAUAUUGGGCAAUGGGCGCAAGCCUGACCCAGCAACGCCGCGUGAAGGAAGAAGGCUUUCGGGUUGUAAACUUCUUUUGUCAGGGACGAGCAGAAGACGGUACCUGACGAAUAAGCCACGGCUAACUACGUG
rnacentral:rRNA from 1 species